CUUCAGACAGGAAGGGGCAGCAAGAUGGUUUCACAGACUCCGAUUCUCAUGUCCCUGCUGCUGUGGAUAUCUGGUGCCUGUGGGGAGAUCGUGAUGACACAGUCUCCAGCCUCCCUGGCUGCGUCAGCAGGAGAGAGAGUCUCUCUCAGCUGCACGUCCAGCCAGAGUCUUUAUUAUAGCUCAACCCAGAAGAACUACUUGUCUUGGUACCAGCAGAAGCCAGGGCAGGCUCCUAAACUGCUGAUGUACUGGGCGUCCACACGGGAGACUGGGGUUCCUGAUCGGUUUACUGGCAGUGGGUCUGGGACAGAUUUCACUCUCACCAUCAGCAGUGUCCGUGCUGAAGACGCAGCAGCUUAUUUCUGUCUGCAGGCUUAUGAGUAUCCUCCCACAGUGCUUCACACUCGAACACAAACCUCUGAGCCUCUCCAGCUGCUUACACUGCCCACAGCCCCAGAUUUGCAUACUUCCUCCAUCUGCCAAGCAGGCAGCAUGUCUGACUCAUUGAUAGGAAAGUAUGAAGAGCUCAGAAAAAAAAAAAAGUCCAGUGAUACUUACGUCUUUUGGUGUGGAAUAUUUUAUGUCAAAUGCAGAAAAGAUUUGGGUGCCUGUGGGGAGAUUGUGAUGACACAGUCUCCAGACUCCCUGGCUGUGUCAGCAGGAGAGAGUCACCAUCAGCUGCAAGUCCAGCCAGAGUCUUUAUUAUAG